GAUGAACGCUAGCGGCAGGCCUAACACAUGCAAGUCGAGGGAGAGGUUACCUUCGGGUAACCAAAACCGGCGCACGGGUGCGUAACGCGUAUACAAUCUGCCUUUCACAUAGGGAUAGCCCGAAGAAAUUUGGAUUAAUACCUAAUGGUAUAUAAGAGCGGCAUCGUUUUUAUAUUAAAGCUACGGUGGUGAAAGAUGAGUAUGCGUUCUAUUAGCUAGUUGGAGAGGUAACGGCUCCCCAAGGCGACGAUAGAUAGGGGUUCUGAGAGGGAUGUCCCCCACACGGGUACUGAGAUACGGACCAGACUCCUACGGGAGGCAGCAGUGAGGAAUAUUGGACAAUGGUCGGAAGACUGAUCCAGCCAUGCCGCGUGCAGGAUGAAGGUCGUAUGGAUUGUAAACUGCUUUUGUAAGGGAAGAAUAAGGAGUACGUGUACUUUGAUGACGGUACCUUACGAAUAAGCAUCGGCUAACUCCGUG
rnacentral:rRNA from 1 species